GGCCCGGGAGUCAGGGAGGUCGGGCCGCUCGGGUGCGCGCUAUGCGCGGCUGCCAUUUUGGAGUCGGGCAGCUGCGACGGCGGCCGGGUCCGGCCUGGGGAAAGGGAGGAGCCAGUCAGGCACCAAGCUGCCCAGCCCUGGAAACCACAGUAGUAAAACAGUGAGAAGCCAAGCUCCUCUCCCAGCUGGCAUGAAUCAAUACCAGGUGUAUUGGCACAUCGUCUUGCAGCUCCACAUUCAUCAAGAUGAGACCUCUGUCCCCUCUCCUUGGCAAAAGAAAAUUGUAAAUGGAUGGAAAGAGGAAAUAUGAAGAAAGACCUUUGCCACCUCUUCUGAAUCAAAUUUCUUUUUUUUCCUCUUCUGAGAACAUUCUCUUCUCAUCUACCUAUUUAUUGAAUAAAUCUUUUUCAACUUUA